rnacentral:rRNA from 1 species
UACGUAGGGUGCAAGCGUUAAUCGGAAUUACUGGGCGUAAAGCGUGCGCAGGCGGUUCUAUAAGACAGAUGUGAAAUCCCCCGGGCUCAACCUGGGAACUGCAUUUGUGACUGUAGAGCUGGAGUGCGGCAGAGGGGGAUGGAAUUCCGCGUGUAGCAGUGAAAUGCGUAGAUAUGCGGAGGAACACCGAUGGCGAAGGCAAUCCCCUGGGCCUGCACUGACGCUCAUGCACGAAAGCGUGGGGAGCGAAACAAGG